CAAAACCAAAGAAUGCUGCAGGAUUCUCCGGAUGUAGAAAUGAUAUUUUCACAUUUUUAUUUCCACUGAUCUCCUCUAGCAGUUUAACAUGAUUUAAAAACAUACCGUUAACCAGAGAUAUUGAAGCAGGGGGGAAGACAACAAAACAAAAUCCAUACAAAAUGGCGUCUACUCAUCAAGCACAACCAAAUCUACAGUCAUGUCUAGAUGGGAUACAGCUUGUGGAAUUGAAGUCCAAAGUAAUUUAACCUAAUUCUCCCAGCCUGCUACGUUAAUUCUUCCAACCUGCUUCGAAAACUACAUUUUGAUAAAAGCUGUAUCCCUUCUAGACCUAGGGGCUCUCAUUCGUUCCUACUUCCUCCCCUCCCGGGUGUACGUUUUGGGUUUUUGCCCUAGCGCAACACAGCCGAUUCAAAUGACCAACUCAUCAUCAAGCUUUGAUGAUUUGAAUCAGCUGUGUAGCUGGGCAAAAACCCAAAACGUACAGGAAGUAGGAAUGAAUGAGAACCCCUAGGUCAAGACAAUCACCACCUCCUCAUCGAUUCUUCUCGUUUUUAAAUAGGUUCAUAAAAAUACAAUAUUUUAAUGGAGGAUCUAGAACAGGGGUCUCCAACCCUGGUUCUGGAGAUACCCUCUCCAACCCUGGUUCUGGAGAUACCCUCUCCAACCCUGGUCCUGGAGAGACCCUCCUGUAGGUUUUAACUCCAACCCUGGUCCUGGAGAGAGACCCUCCUGUAGGUUUUAACUCCAACCCUGGUCCUGGAGAGAGACCCUCCUGUAGGUUUUAACUCCAACCCUGUUCCUGGAGAUACCCUCCUGUAGGUUUUAACUCCAACCCUGGUCCUGGAGAGAGACCCUCCUGUAGGUUUUAACACCAACCCUGGUCCUGGAGAGAGACCCUCCUGUAGGUUUUAACUCCAACCCUGGUCCUGGAGAGAGACCCUCCUGUAGGUUUUAACUCCAUUAAUAUCAGGUAGAUCAGGGUUGGAGCAAAAACCUACAAGACAGUAGGACUCCAAGAACAGGGUUGGAGAACCCCAUAGAGAUAGAUAGAUGACUCAUCUUUGUAUCUGUGCCAAGAUAGGUGAGCAGGGCCAUUUUGAAGUAGUACGUUUUCUUCUUCACGAUUGGCUGAUUCCUCCUGAUGACCCGGUUGGACUCCAACUUAAUUUAUUUAACUACAUAAAAAUGGUGUAAGUCCUCAAUGGCGCUGUCCAUGUUAAAUGGCCUUUUGGCCACUAGAGGCCUCUAUCAUUCUCUAUGGAGAACCUUGAUGUAGACUAGAGACGAGAUGUUUCAUAGAGGUCAGACUCCGAGGUCAUGGUUAGAGAGUUCAGAGGGGGAUUUCUCCAAACAAAAAAUGUCACACAGACUUUACGCAACUAACUUGACGUCGUGUCGUAGUUUACCACUGGGCUACGUUUCUCAUCAACCACAUGAUCAAACAACAGCAUCAACCACAUGAUCAACCACAUGAUCAACCAACAGCAUCAACCACAUGAUCAACCACAUGAUCAACCACAUGAUCAACCAACAGCAUCAACCACAUGAUCAAACAACAGCAUCAACCACAUGAUCAAACAACAGCAUCAACCACAUGAUCAACCA
ensembl:lncRNA